GGCAUCAAGGUUAGGAAACAUAGAUUAUAACAUCAAACUGAUAGAAGAAGCAGAAAAAAGUCAAAACAACGGAGCCAUAACAACUAUGAGAUCUGAGAGAACCCGAAGCUGGUAAUACGAUUCACAGGUCUUAAAACAAUUUCUCUGAUCUGAUGCUUUCCAGAUGUGUUUGGAGGACAGUUCCCCAAAUUCCUCAUCAGUAUUCUGGGAAGUACAGUCUUGGCACAUCUGGGGGAAAGACAUCUUUCAUACAUUUAUACCCACACAUCCUCCCCACAUAUAGUCGAACAUUUAUACAUACAUAUAAAUACAGAAUACACAGCUACUAAUCAGGAAAAACAUAAUUUGGAGAAACCAAAGUACUCUACAGUUCUGUAAUUUUUCCAGAAAAACAAGGUUUUUCAGUUUUUCAACACAUUCAAGCAAUUAUGGGAUAAAGCAAUAUGUAUACGUCC